AGAAUGGACUAAUACAGAAGCCAACAAGAUGACAUAGCUAGAUAAAAUUAGGUUAUGAGAAGUUUUAUAUAUAUACGCACAUAUGUAUAUAUAUUUAUGCAUACAUAUACACAGGGAAAAAGAACGCUUUAAGAGAUUGAGAAGUUUGAUGCAGACGAGUUUAAUGCCCUGGGGCAAUAGAACAGUCCCCUUUGAGGAUUUCUUUUCUGUAAGACAGAAAUUAUUCCCAUCUCUACUGGACAAAAGUCAUUUGUAAUGUAUCAAUCUACUCCAAGUUAACAUCUAAAUUGACAGAGUUUGGGCCCUGAUCAAUAGUAAAUGGUAUGUCAAAUAAAGUUCUCUUUCCCUAGAGUCUCCCAUGACAUUUCAGUGGACUUGUCGAAUGUUCUAGCAUGAUUUUGAAAGGGCAUGCAGUAAUCGUUUUGCCUUAUUUCCAAGUUUUGCAUAGUUUUUCUUAGCCAGUUGCAUUCUCAAAUGUCCACAGAGGCAGAGUGGGGCCGUGUUAGUCUAGGGUGUGCGUGUCCUGUCUAGGGGCAGCUGCUUCUCAAUGCCAAGGGCAGUGUGAGUCCCCUGUGACCAGGACCCCAGAAUUUCCAUGAGAAAGUAUAAAUGCACAUUUUUAUGUGAAAUGUUCUGUAUGAGUCAGGGUUCUCCAGAGGGACAGAACUAACAGGGGAGAUGUAUACAUGAAAGGGAGUUUAUUAGGGAGAAUUGACUCGCAAGAUCCAAGGCAAAGUCCCAUGAUAGACUGUCUGCAAGCUGAGGAGCAAGGAAGCCAGUAGUGGCUCGGUCUGAUCACAAAACCUUAAAAGCAGGGAGGCCGACAGUGCAACCACCAAUCAGCCUGUGGCCAAAGGCCCCAGAGCCCCCAGCAAACCACUGGUGUAAGUCCAAGAAUCCAAAGGCUGAAGAACCUGGAGUCUGGGGCAGGAAGCAUCCAGCAUGGGAGAAAGAUGAAGGCCAGAAGAUUCAGGAACCCAGCUUAUCCCACCCUCUUUGCCUGCUUUUUUCUAGCCGCGUUGGCAGCUGAUUGGUUGGUGCCCGCCCACACUGAGGGUGGGUCUGCAUCUCCCAGUCCAUUGACUCAGUUGUUCAUCUUCUCUGGCAACACCCUCACAGACACACCCAGAAAUGAUACUUUACCAGCUAUGCAAAGUAUUAUAGGCAUCCUUCAAUCACGUUGACAUCCAAUAUUAACCAUCACAUGUUGUAAUUUUAAAAUAUUGGCAAUUAAUUCAGUGAAAAGAAAAGAGAACACUGUCUUAAUCAUUUUGAGCCGAGUAUGUUGGUGCAAAAGUAAUUGCGGUUUUUGCUAUUACGUUUAAUGGCAAAGCUGCAAUUACUUUUACACCAACCUAAUAAAAUUCCAUAGAUGGGUGGCUUAUAAACAGCAGGGGUCUAUGUCUAUGGUUCUCGACCACAGUCUCUAUCCUGGAUUCCAGGAUCAAGGCAGCUGCAGAUUCAGUGUCUGCUGGGAACCUGGUUUCUGGUUCGGAGAUGGCACCUUCUCACCGUGUCCUCACGUGGUGGAACGGAUGAACACCCUCCCGCAGGACUCUUUUCACAACACCUACCUCAUCCACUUAGGAGGAGCUGAUGAGUAUCAACGAUCCAGAGAGUUCCUGGCCCGCAGCUGGCACACAGUCCACGUUACUGUCAGACAGUGGGGAGAAAAGAGUUUCCUCAUUCUCCUGGUGGGCCGUUCUCAUUGCAAUGUUGCUUUUGUUCCACAAGAACACAUCCUCCACUCCCUGGAAGAUGCAACUCCUACGGAAACUGAGUCCAAUGAUCAAAGGCACUGGCAUUCAGAGGGGACCCACUGAUAAUUGCCGACUACACAGGAGCUGUCUUCCAUAACUCCUCAGAGAGCACGUUGGCCCUACAAAUGCAAAUCCAACAUUCAGCCACGACCUCCCAUGUGCCAAGUGUCAUGGGAUUCAUGCUUUCAAACCAUCGGUUCCAGUUAAGACUCAUAUAAUGAAACAGAUGGGUUCACAUGAUUUUAGUUUAUAUGGGAAGAAGCUUUAGACUAAAGCAGAGGGAGGUAAACUUACAGGCAAGCAGGAAGGCUUGAAGGCUUGAGUGUUCUUGGAGGCUCACGGCUGGGUGCAGGCUGACCUUGGGUGAGAGCCCUCGUUCAUUGCCCCGUGACACUGUCCUUCCUGUGUUUUCAAACGGCCUCUUGUUCCUGGUCAAUAUCCUCUGCGCUUCUCUUUGGGGAUUUAGGACACCACGACAUUCUCUUCAUUGUCCAAGGAAACCAUUCUCCUCAUCUAGAAACAUCAUCGAUUUCUGAAGUUAAAUUGAGACCAGAGUGGAUUCUGCACAUCAGUCUCUCCCCUUUCCCUCUGUGACUGUGGACUCUGGGAGGGUUGAAGGGAGGUGGUGCCAAUGGCAAAGACAUGCUCUGAUGGUGCGGCUUUUCCACAGGCCUUUCUUAAGCUGUGACUGGGUCUCAGAUCUUUCUUCAGACCUGAGGGAUGUUUAGAGUGGAGGAUGUUUGCAACCAUCAGUCUUCCGUCAUGUUACACUGGAGUUUCGUGGCAGUGACGUGAAUUAAAGAGUAAUAUUUUAGAUUUGAUAUUUUAUUGCUGCAUAAUUUAUUAUAAUUUUUAGUGGUCAAUCUCAGCAUCCUGAUUCAGCUUCAGAAAAGUUUGGAAAGUCUCCCAAAGAAUGAGGAAUGAUUAGCCUACCACAGAAUCUUCUUUUGGAGGCACAGUGAAAAGCGCAUAAAACACAAAUGACAGUUUAUGACUUAUGAUAAAGCAUUCCCUUGUAUAAGCCUGAUGCAGGGUCAUGAAUGAAACCUUGUCCUCACCCCUCGAUGUCCUGCUUCCAAGAUACCACUCCUUCCCCAUCUCCAGAGAUCACCCCUGAUCUGACUGCCAUGGGAAUCUCUGCCCCCUAAAUACACAAUAGGCUUGAGACCCACCCAUUUUUAGAGUCUUUACAAAGAAUUGGUUGUACAUUGUUUUUUUUUAUUUUUUAUUUUUUUAUUUUUAGACAGGGUCUUGCUCUGUUACCCAGGCUGGAGUGCAGUGGUGCGAUCUCAGCUCACUUCAGCCUCAACCUGCCGGGCUCAAGCAAUCCUCCCACUUCAACCUUAUGAGCAGCUGUGACUACAGGCAUGCAUCACCAAGCCCAGCUAAUUUUUGUAUUUUUUGCAGAGACAGGGUUUCGCCAUGUUGCCCAGGCUGGUCUCAAACUCCUGGGCUCAAGUGAUCUGCCCGCCUCGGCCUCCCAAAGUGCUGGUAUUACAGGUGUGAGCCACUGCGCCUAGCCUUGGUUGUGUAUUUCUAUGGAUAAAAAUAUAUACACUCAGCAAAUAAAAUAAAACUUGUAAACUCUUCUGCAUCCUCUCUCCCCCUCCCCAGACCCUAGAAGUAACAGGUAUUAGGAAUUUGGCACAGCAUUUUUCAGGCUUUACACAUUUGCACAAGGCUUUUGUGUGAGGUUGUGCAGGUUGUGGGUGGCAUGACAUCAGUUGAUGACUUCCACAUAAACCAGGGGCUGCAAGCUGCAGCUCGAGGGUCAAGCCCAGCCUGCCACCUGUUCUUGUAUGUUUUGUGAGUUUAAAAGUCUUUACAUUUUUUAAAUGGUUAAGAAUUCAAAAUAAGGUUUUACAAUGUGAAAAUUGCACAAAAUUCCAAUUAUGGUGGGCAAACACAAAGUUUUAUUAAAAUAUAGCCAUACUCAUACAUUGGUGGCAGAAUUGAGUAGUUGUGGCAAAGACCCUGUGGCUCACAAAGCCUAAAAUAUUGACUCUCUGGCCCUUUAUGGAAAGUUUGCUGGCCCCUGACAUAGACAGUGUUGCAGGCGUCUCCCUUGGAGUUUUGCAGUGUGCAGCAUGCACUGCUGUAGGGAAGCAGUGCUGUAGGGAAGCAGUGCUGUGAACAUGGGUGCACACAUCACUUAAAAAUAAAACAGUGUUAAUGUGCUGUCAUUCAUUUUACUACUGCUAACACUUUGGUUGCCUUGAAUUUUUCACUAUUACAAAUCAUGCUGCAGUAAACAUUCUUGUGCUUUUGUACAGCCCUUUGCAUGUCACUACAGUUCCAAUUAUCUCCAACCUAGAGCAGUGUUAAUGCUGGCGUGCGUACAAUUUAAUCAACAUUGUGGCACCUUGUGGUAAAUGAACAAUUUUUCAAUUUAAUAUUUAUUAUAGUAGCCUGCGAGAAGGAAAUCUGUUCUGACUGGUUUAAAAGAGUCUCUAUAAUGAGCUAGGAGAUUUUAAAAUUCUAAAUGUGAAAAGCAAGUCAACUAAUUUACAAAUAAUUGGGAAACUAUUCAGCAUAAAGAAAAUGUAGCUUUUCAUGUGCUUGGAUUAGCUGUAUACGCAAAUUAGAUGCUGAUGAACUUUCUAGAAGUCAGUUUUCCCUAUGGAUAGGAACAUCUACCUGGCUACAUCUGUGCUAGAUAUUUGGAGAGAAGCAUUCAGAAUGAAAGCUAUAUUUUCCGAGCUAAUAUUUGCAUGAAUAUUGAGAUGUCGUUCCCUUUUUGAAGUAAAUAUUGACCUCAGUUUCACCUUUAUUUCUGUGUUCUGAUCAACACACACCAAUAACUGCUGAUGACUGGAUGUUCAUCCUGGUGGAAUCUGCUGGAACCAAUAAAAAAUGCCUAGCUGCUGUUA